CCUACGGGUGGCAGCAGUGGGGAAUAUUGGGCAAUGGGCGCAAGCCUGACCCAGCAACGCCGCGUGAAGGAAGAAGGCUUUCGGGUUGUAAACUUCUUUUCUCAGGGACGAAGAAAGUGACGGUACCUUAGGAAUAAGCCACGGCUAACUACGUGCCAGCAGCCGCGGUAAUACGGAGGUGGCAAGCGUUAUCCGGAUUUAGUGGGUGUAAAGGGCGUGUAGGCGGGAGCGCAAGUCAGAUGUUAAAACUCAGGGCUCAACCCUGAGCCUGCAUUUGAAACCGUGUUUCUUGAGUGCUGGAGAGGCAAUCGGAAUUCCGUGUGUAGCGGUGAAAUGCGUAGAUAUACGGAGGAACACCAGUGGCGAAGGCGGAUUGCUGGACAGUAACUGACGCUGAGGCGCGAAAGCGUGGGGAGCAAACAGGAUUAGAUACCCCGGUAGUC
rnacentral:rRNA from 1 species